AUAAAACAGUCUGCACAGCCUAUCACAGCCAUAACUCAUCUGGGUCAGCUCUGGUUUCUGUAAGGCAUUUGACUUUUUUUGUUUGUUUGUUUGUUUUUGCUUUAAAAAUUUUUUUAUUGGAGUGUACUUUGGCCACCUCAUGCGAAGAGUUGACUGAUUGGAAAAGACUCUGAUGCUGGGAGGGAUUGGGGGCAGGAGGAGAAGGGGAUGACAGAGGAUGAGACGGCUGGAUGGCAUCACCGACUCGAUGGAGACCUCUCCCAGGUGCUGUGUUUCAAGGCUCUGAGGACCAAGCAGAGAAGCUGAAGCUAGGCUGACUCUUUGCAGUUGACUUUGGAGUCUUCUACCGCUGGGAGCCUCCUCAAGUACAGACAGAUGCUGUAGUAGUCAUGUAUGGAUGUGAGAAUUGGACCAAAAAGAAAGCUGAGUGCCAGAGAAUUGAUGGCUUUUGAACUGUGGUGUUGGAGAAGACUCUUGAGAGUCCCUUGGACAGCAAGGAGAUCAAACCUAAAGGAAGUCCAUCCUAAAGGAAGCCAGUCCUGAAUAUUCAUUGGAAGGACUGAUGGUGAAGCUGAAGCUCCAAUACUUUGGCCACCUGAUGCGAAGAACUGACUCAUUAGAAAGACCCUGAUGCUGGGAAAGAUUGAAGGUGGGAGGAGAAGGGGAUGACAGAGGAUGAGAUGGUUGGAUGACAUUACCAACUUGAUGGACAUGAGUUUGAGCAAGCUCUGGGAAUUGGUGAUGAACAGGGAAGCCUGGUAUGCUGCAGUCCACGGGGUUGCAAAGAGUCAGACACGACUGAAUGACUGAACUGAACACCUCUUUCACAGAGAUUCACAGCAACCACUGGCAUUUUCCCCCUCAGCUUUAUAGAGGUACAAUUAACAAUUACAAAUUGUACAUAUUUAAGUUUAAAAUGUGGUAUUUUCAUUUAUGUGUAUAUUGUGAAAUGAUUUCCACACUCAAGCUAAUUGACAUAUCCAUCACUUUGCAUCAUCAUCUCUUUCUAUGUGAUGAAGAUCCAAGAUUUCAAGUGUAUAAUAUGGUAAUAUUAACUAUAGUCACCAUGCUAUAUAUUAAUUCUCCACAGCUUACUCAUCCUGAAUAACUGAAGCUUUGUACCUUUGAACAAGAUCUCCACAUUUUCCCCACCCCAACACCUGGCAACCACCAUUCUGCUUCUUGCUUUAGUAAGUUAAAAUUCUAAGGUAGUGGGGUGAAAGGACAUGCGCACAUCUUUUUUUGAGAGAGCACCAAAAUCGCAACUAGCUGCUGAACAAUCAUUGACAGGAGAAUGCUGGAACCCACCAAAAAAAGAUACCCCACAUCCAAAGACAAAGAAGAAGCCACAGUGAGACAGUGGGAGGGGUGAAAUCACAAUAAAAUCAAAUCCAAUACCUGCCAGGUAGGUGACCCACAAAUUGGAGAACAGUAAAACCAAGGAAGUUCUCCUACUGUUAUGAAGGUUCUGAACACUACAUCAGGCUUCCCAUCCUGAGGAGCUGGCAAAGGGACUGGGAAUCCCCACGGCAUCUGACCUUGAAGACCAGCAGGAUUUGAUUAGAGGACUUCCACAGUACUGGGGAAAACAGACUCCAGUCUUGGAGGGCACAGAUAAAAUCUGCACACAUCAAGAAACCCAGAGGAAAGGAGCAGUGACCCCACAGGAGACUGAACCAAAACGACCUGCUAGUGCUGGAGGGUCUCCCGUGGAGGUGCGGGUCUGCAGGGGCUCACCGCAGGGCCAGCAGUAGCUGUCCAGGAAGGUCCCCCUUGGCAUAAGCCCUCUUGAAACUCUCCCAUAGAGCCUGUAGACCCCAGGACUGGGUUGCCUCAGGCCAAACAACUACCAGGGAGGGAGCACAACCCCACCCAUCAGCAGAUAAUUGGAUUA
ensembl:lncRNA